CCAGAAUGAGAAGAAGGAAAGCGGGGCCGGUUCCUUCAGGACCCGCCUCAGGGGGCACCGCGGCGGCUUGGGGACCACUUGGAGCCCCGUCCUGGGGAGAAAACAGCUCACGUCUAUGGCCCUGACUGCUUAGGCGGGAGCUGCGUGCAGCUCAGCUUCUCCGGGGCAUUUUUUUCUACACGGUUAUUGCUCUGUCACCCAGGCUGGAGUUCAGCAGUGCGAUCUUGGCUCAUUGCAGCCUUGAACCUCCCGGGCUCAAGUGAUCCUCCCUCCUCAACCUCCCAAGUAGCUGGGACUACAGCUGGGUGAGCUAUGAACAGGCCAACUGCAAGGGCGAGCAGUUUGUGUUUGAGAAGGGCGAGUACGCCCACUGGGACUGGUGGACCAGCAGCCAGAGGACAGACUCAGCAGCCUGAGGCCCAUCAAAGUGGACAGCCAAGAGCACAAGAUCAUCCUCUAUGAAAACCCCAACUUCACCGGGAAGAAGAUGGAAAUCAUAGAUGACGAUGUACCCAGCUUCCACGCCCAUGGCUACCAGGAGAAGGUGUCAUCUGUGUGGGUGCGGAGUGGCAUGUGGGUUGGCUACUAGUACCCUGGCUACCGUGGGCUGCAGUACCUGCUGGAGAAGGGAGACUACAAGGACAGCAGCGACUUUGGGGCCCGUCACCCUCAGGGACAUGGAUGAAGCUGGAAACCAUCAUUCUCAGCAAACUAACACAGAAGCAGAAAACCAAACACCACAUGUUCUCACUCAUAAGUGGGAGUUGAACAGUGAGAACACAUGGACACAAGGAGGGGAACAUCACACACCGAGGCCUGUCAGGGAGUGGGGGACAAGAGGGAGAGAGAGCAUUGGGACAAAUACCAAAUGCAUGCACGGCUUAAAACCUAGAUGACAGGUUGAUGGGUGCAGCAAACCACCAUGGCACAUGUAUACCUGUGUAACAAACCUGCACGUUCUGCACAUGUAUCCCAGAACUUAUAAUAAAAAAGAAACCAGUAAGUGCUCAAUAAAUGUUACUAACAUCUAUUUCUUCAUUCAUUCUUCAACCAUUACCCACUGAGUGCCUAUUUGGAUACUUGGCUUAGUACCUGGGUGAUGAAAUAAUCUACAGCAAACCCCCAUGGCAUGAGUUUAUAACAAACCUGCACAUGUAUCCCCGAACUUAAAAGUUAAAAAAACAGAAUCUGCACAAGUCUAAGCUACUUCCUUGAGGAAAAGACUCGAGCUGAGAUCUCAAAGAAGAGUAGAAGUUGCAGGGGUAAAGAGGCCAAAGAAGAGUGUCUCAGAUGAGAGCGGCACGUGCAAAGGCCCUGUGGUGGGAGGAGCCUGGUAGCUCUGAGAAACUCCACAAAGGCACGGUGGUGGCUGGAAUGCAGAGAUGUGGGGGCACAUUGAAAACCUUGUUAAAGUGCUUAAAAUGAUUAUCAUAAAGGUAGAAACUAAUAAGUGCUAAAUAAAUGUUAUUCUCGUCCGUUUCUCCAUUGAUUCUUCAAUCAAUACCUAUUGAGUGCCUGUUUCACUCCUGGAACUGGGCAGAGUAGGAAUACAAAGUAAGACAGAUUCCCUGCCCCUAGAAGCUCUCACUGUGGGGGGAUUGUAAUAGUUUGAGAGUAGAGCAAUGGUGAUUAUUAUGGGUUGAAUGAGAA
rnacentral:lncRNA from 1 species